rnacentral:rRNA from 1 species
AAUGUAUAAAAUUUUACUAGAGUAGUAUUAGUUAUGAUCUUGAAACUUAAAAAAUUUGGCGGUAUUUUAGUCUAUUCAGAGGAAUCUGUUUUGUAAUUGAUAAUCCACGAUGGACCUAACUUAAUUUUGUUUUCAGUUUAUAUACCGCCGUUAUUUGAAUAUUUUAUAAGAAUUAAUAAUUUUCAAUAAUUUUAAUAAAAAUUAAUGUCAGGUCAAGGUGUAGCUUAUAAUUAAGUAAUAAUGGAUUACAAUAAAAUUAUUUAUGCGGAUUUAGUAAUGAAAUUUAUUAAUGAAGAUGGAUUUGAUAGUAAAUUUUUAAAGAUUAAAAAAUUGAUUAUAGCUCU